UAGGGAAUAUUGCUUAAUGGGCGAAAGCCUGAAGCAGCAACGCCGCGUGAACGAAGAACGCCUUCGGGUCGUAAAGUUCUUUUACGUGGGAUGAGGAAGGACAGUACCACGAGAAUAAGUCUCGGCUAACUACGUGCCAGCAGCCGCGGUAAAACGUAGGAGACGAGCGUUAUCCGGAUUUACUGGGCGUAAAGCGCGUGUAGGAGGCGCUACAAGUUGGAUGUGAAAGCUCCCGGCUUAACUGGGAGAGGUCGUUCAAGACUGUAGAGCUAGAGUGAGGCAGAGGUAGGUGGAACUCCGGGAGUAGUGGUGAAAUGCGUAGAUAUCCGGAAGAACACCAGAGGCGAAAGCGAUCUACUGGACCUAAACUGACACUGAGACGCGAAAGCCAGGGUAGCAAACGG
rnacentral:rRNA from 1 species